rnacentral:rRNA from 1 species
ACUGACACAGAAGCAAAGUGUUUCAAGGCACAUAAAUCCAAUGAUGAGACUGGUAGUUUCAGAAAAGAUGAUGAAGCUGAUUCAAGAAAUACUACUAAGGCUGUUGAUCAAAAUCCUCCACCACCAAAGCAAGGUUUCAUCCAUGUGAGGGCAAGAAGGGGUCAAGCAACUGACAACCAUAGCCUUGCAGAAAGGGUCAGUUCAAUGCACAAUUUCCAUCUACUUUUUUUAUGGGCACGGCGUGAGAAAAUAACCAAGCCGAUGAAAAUUCUCCAAGACCCUGUCCCUGGAUGUAAUAAA